AUUCAUCUUCGGGGCAGGGUGAAAAUCCCGACCGGCGGUAAUAAAGCUCAUACAUGCUUUUAGCCCGCGAGCCUUAGAAUAAUAAGGCAGGAUUUGGUGUGAUUCCAAAGCCGACAGUACAGUCUGGAUGGGAGAAGAUGGAG
rnacentral:ncRNA from 2 species